rnacentral:rRNA from 1 species
UGAGUACGAGAUGCUACGGCAUCGAAGCAGUCUAUGUCAUACUUCCAAGAAAAGCUUGCACUGUCAUAAACAAAGAAUGCCUGUACCAUAACCGACACAGGUGGGUAGGUAGAGUAUACUAAGGGGCGCGAGAUAACUCUCUCUAAGGAACUCGGCAAAAUGACUCCGUAACUUCGGGAGAAGGAGUGCCUUAUUUCUAAGGUUGCAAUAACAAGAUCCAAGCAACUGUUUACCAAAAACACAGGUCUCCGCUAAGUCGUAAGACGAUGUAUGGGGGCUGACGCCUGCCCAGUGCCAGAAGGUUAAAGAAGUUGGUUAGCAUUAGCGAAGCUGAUAACUGAAGCCCUGGUGAACGGCGGCCGUAACGAUAACGGUCCUAAGGUAGCGAAAUUCCUUGUCGGGUAAGUUCCGACCCGCACGAAAGGCGUAAUGAUUUGGAUACUGUCUCGGAGAGGGGCUCGGUGAAAUAGACUUGUCUGUGAAGAUGCGGACUACCUGCACCUGGACAGAAAGACCCUAUGAAGCUUUACUGUAACUUGAGAUUGAAAUUGGACUUUAUUUGCGCAGUAUAGGUGGGAGGCGUUGAGAAUAAUCUUGCGGGAUUGUUGGAGCCAUCAGUGAGAUACCACUCUUGUAAUGUUAGAUUUCUAACUUUGUAUCAUUAUCUGGUCAAAGAACAGUUUCAGGCGGGCAGUUUGACUGGGGCGGUCGCCUCCCAAAGGGUAACGGAGGCGCACAAAGGUUUCCUCUGAACGGGUAGAAAUCGUAUCUAGAGUGUAAAGGCAUAAGGAAGCUUGACUGUGAGACCUACAAGUCGAGCAGGGACGAAAGUCGGUCUUAGUGAUCUGACGGUGCUGAGUGGAAAGGCCGUCACUCAACGGAUAAAAGUUACUCUAGGAUAACAGGCUGAUCUCCCCCAAGAGUUCACAUCGACGGGGAGGUUUGGCACCUCGAUGUCGGCUCAUCGCAUCCUGGGGCGGUAGUCCGUCCCAAGGGUUGGGCUGUUCGCCCAUGAAAGCGGUACGCGAGCUGGGUUCAGAACGUCGUGAGACAGUUCGGUCCAUAUCCGGUGUAGGCGUUAGAAUAUUGAGAGGAGCCUUCUCUAGUACGAGAGGACCGAGAAGGACAUACCUCUGGUGUACCAGUUAUCGUGCCAACGGUAAACGCUGGGUAGCUAUGUAUGGAGUGGAUAACCGCUGAAAGCAUCUAAGUGGGAAGCCCACCUCAAGAUAAGUAUUCU